rfam:TPA: Bos taurus chromosome 1, whole genome shotgun sequence.
UGGCUAAGAGGGUAAAGCGUCUGCCUCCAAUGCAGGAGGCCUGGGUUCGGUCCCUG